rnacentral:rRNA from 1 species
GGGGAAUUUUCCGCAAUGGGCGAAAGCCUGACGGAGCAAUACCGCGUGAGGGAGGAAGGCUUUUGGGUUGUAAACCUCUUUUCUUAAGGAAGAAGAUCUGACGGUACUUAAGGAAUCAGCAUCGGCUAACUCCGUGCCAGCAGCCGCGGUAAUACGGAGGAUGCAAGCGUUAUCCGGAAUUAUUGGGCGUAAAGCGUCCGCAGGUGGCCUUUCAAGUCUGCUGUCAAAGACCAGAGCUCAACUCUGGGCCGGCGGUGGAAACUGGGAGGCUAGAGUACGGUAGGGGUAGAGGGAAUUCCCAGUGUAGCGGUGAAAUGCGUAGAGAUUGGGAAGAACACCAGUGGCGAAGGCGCUCUACUGGACCGAAACUGACACUCAGGGACGAAAGCUAGGGGAGCGAAUGUUAUUAGAUACCCCUGUAGUC